AUACGGAGAGGGCAAGCGUUGUUCGGAAUCACUGGGCAUAAAGGGCACGUAGGCGGAUCAGAAAGUCGGUUGUGAAAGCCCGGGGCUCAACCCCGGAACUGCUUCCGAAACUUCUGGUCUUGAGGGUGAGAGGGGAGAGUGGAACUUCUGGUGGAGCGGUGAAAUGCGUAGAGAUCAGAAGGAACACCGGUGGCGAAAGCGACUCUCUGGCUCAUUUCUGACGCUGAGGUGCGAAAGCUUGGGUAGCGAACGGGAUUAGAAACCCUAGUAGUCC
rnacentral:rRNA from 1 species